CAUUUAAAACUGACGAAAAAAGAAUUUUGGAGCAGCGACCCUUGAAAAUCAGGGUCACAAACCUUCUCCACCCUUCAAGUCACAGAAUGACAGGUUUGGGUCUGAACAAUACUGUACUCCAGGUACACAUACAGGAUGGCCAGACAAAACUUCAGAUGUGUGUCUCCCUAAAGCAUUCCUGUGCACUAAAACAUUUACAGCAUUAAAUCAUUGUGAUUUCCAACCAUGUUGACUAUGAUUUAUAAGAUUAGAUAAACUUGUCUCCCUCUAUCCUUAUUUUUAACUUGGUUUGUUUGUACACUUCAGUCCUGCACUGUUAUCUUAGUAUAUAAAAGUUAUAUUUACAUAC